rnacentral:rRNA from 1 species
AUUGAACGCUGGCGGCAGGCUUAACACAUGCAAGUCGAGCGGGGGAGGUUGCUUCGGUAACUGACCUAGCGGCGGACGGGUGAGUAAUGCUUAGGAAUCUGCCUAUUAGUGGGGGACAACAUUCCGAAAGGGAUGCUAAUACCGCAUACGCCCUACGGGGGAAAGCAGGGGAUCUUCGGACCUUGCGCUAAUAGAUGAGCCUAAGUCGGAUUAGCUAGGUGGUGGGGUAAAGGCCUACCAAGGCGACGAUCUGUAGCGGGUCUGAGGGGAUGAUCCGCCACACUGGGACUGGGACACGGCCCAGACUCCUACGGGAGGCAGCAGUGGGGAAUAUUGGACAAUGGGCGGAAGCCUGAUCCAGCCAUGCCGCGUGUGUGAAGAAGGCCUUUUGGUUGUAAAGCACUUUAAGCGAGGAGGAGGCUCUUAAGGUUAAUACCCUUGAUGAGUGGACGUUACUCGCAGAAUAAGCACCGGCUAACUCUGUGCCAGCAGCCGCCGUAACAC